CGUAGUGAUACGGGAAUGAAAAUGUGACGAGAGGACCGGGAUGAACGAACCUCUGGUCUGCCGGCUGUUCUGCCAAGAGCAGCGCCGGGUAGCUAUGUUCGGUUCCGAUAAGCGCUGAAAGCAUAUAAGCGCGAAACGGGCUCCAAGAUGAGACUUCAGAGACUCCUUGUAGAUUACGAGGUUGAUAGGGCUUAGAUGUACGCACCGUGAGGUGCUUAGUCGAGAGCUACUAACAGUCCAAAA
rnacentral:ncRNA from 1 species